GUACUUACCUGGCAGGAGAGAUACCAUGAUCAAGCAGGUGGUUUUUCCCAGGGUGAGGUUCCUCCGUUGCACUAGGGAGGUGCUGACCCCUGCGAUUUCCCCAAGUGUGGGGAAACUCGACCGCAUAGUUUGUGGUAGUGGGGGACUGCGUUCGCGCUCCCCCCUG
rnacentral:snRNA from 1 species